GCUGGAUGUUGGCAUGAGUAAAUGCCAUCCAAUACUUGGUUAGGGGAGUCAAAUAUGCCCUAAGGAUGUUAACCAGUGCUCCAUUAGGGUUUCUCUGAAAAUGCCUCCCAAGGAUGCACAUCACUCUCUCAAUAUCUUCAUAAUCCCUGGCCUCCCCUAGUAUAGCAGCAUAAUUGCACUGCUCUCCUGGCCAUUCAGUCCUUAGGAAGGCAUUAAUGGUGUCAGGAUCAUAGCUGAUCAAAU
rnacentral:lncRNA from 1 species